AUUGAACGCUGGCGGCAGGCCUAACACAUGCAAGUCGAGAGGAGAGGCGGCCGGGUGAGUAAUGCCUGGGAAUCUGCCUGGUAGUGGGGGAUAACGUACGGAAACGGGAGCUAAUACAGCAUACUAUCAGAUGAGCCUAGGUAGUCUUAGCUAGUUGGGGGGGGCAAGGCCUACCAAGGCGACGAUCCGUAACUGGUCUGAGAGGAUGAUCAGUCAAACUGGAACUUAGACACGGUCCAGACUCCUACUGGAUGCAGCAGUGGGGAAUAUUGGACAAUGGGCGAAAGCCUGAUCCAGCCAUGCCGCGUGUUUGAAGAAGUUCUUCGGAUUGUAAAGCACUUUAAGUUGUGAGGCGUUACCAACAGAAUAAGCACCGGCUAACUUCGUGCCAGCAGCCGCGGUAAUAC
rnacentral:rRNA from 1 species